UGAGGAACAUGACCUUCGGCGGGGAUAGCCGGCCCAACGGCCGGGUAAUACCGCGUACGACCACAUGGGGACAUCCCUGAGUGGUGAAAGCAGCAAUGCGCCGAAAGAGUGCCUCGCGGCCUAUCAGCUAGUUGGUGGGGUAAUGGCUCACCAAGGCAACGACGGGUAGCUGGUCUGAGAGGAUGGCCAGCCACAUUGGGACUGAGACACGGCCCAGACUCCGUAGGGAGG
rnacentral:rRNA from 1 species